AGAGUUUGAUCAUGGCUCAGAGUGAACGCUGGCGGCGUGCCUAACACAUGCAAGUCGAACGAGAACGGAUUACAGCUUGCUGUAAUUGUCAGCUAAGUGGCGCACGGGUGAGUAAUAUAUAGUUAAUCUGCCCCAAAGAAGAGAAUAAUUGUUGGAAACGACUUGUAAUGCUCUAUAUGCCUUUAUCACAUAAGUGAGCAAGGGAAAUAUUUAUAGCUUUGGGAUGAGACUGUACGGUAUCAGCUAGUUGGUGAGGUAAUGGCUCACCAAGGCUAUGACAUCUAACUGGUUUGAGAGGAUGAUCAGUCACACUGGAACUGAGACACGGUCCAGACUCCUACGGGAGGCAGCAGUGGGGAAUAUUGCACAAUGGAGGGAACUCUGAUGCAGCAACGCCGCGUGGAGGAUGACACAUUUCGGUGCGUAAACUCCUUUUAUAUGAGAAGAUAAUGACGGUA
rnacentral:rRNA from 1 species